GAGUUUGAUCCUGGCUCAGGAUGAACGCUAGCGGCAGGCCUAACACAUGCAAGUCGAACGGUAACAGAGAAGAGCUUGCUCUUUUGCUGACGAGUGGCGCACGGGUGCGUAACGCGUAUACAAUCUACCUUUUACAGGGGGAUAGCCUUUAGAAAUGAAGAUUAACACCCCAUAGUAAGUAAUUAUGGCAUCAUAGUAACUUUAAAAUUUCGGUGGUAAAAGAUGAGUAUGCGUUCUAUUAGCUAGAUGGUGUGGUAACGGCACACCAUGGCAACGAUAGAUAGGGGCCCUGAGAGGGGGAUCCCCCACACUGGUACUGAGACACGGACCAGACUCCUACGGGAGGCAGCAGUGAGGAAUAUUGGACAAUGGGCGAGAGCCUGAUCCAGCCAUGCCGCGUGCAGGAAGACUGCCCUAUGGGUUGUAAACUGCUUUUAUAUAGGAAGAAACCUUUCCACGUGUGGAAAGCUGACGGUACUAUAAGAAUAAGGAUCGGCUAACUCCGUGCCAGCAGCCGCGGUAAUACGGAGGAUCCAAGCGUUAUCCGGAAUCAUUGGGUUUAAAGGGUCCGUAGGUGGAUAAUUAAGUCAGAGGUGAAAGUUUGCAGCUCAACUGUAAAAUUGCCUUUGAUACUGGUUAUCUUGAAUUAUUGUGAAGUGGUUAGAAUAUGUAGUGUAGCGGUGAAAUGCAUAGAUAUUACAUAGAAUACCAAUUGCGAAGGCAGAUCACUAACAAUAUAUUGACACUGAUGGACGAAAGCGUGGGGAGCGAACAGGAUU
rnacentral:rRNA from 1 species